CCUACGGGUGGCAGCAGUGAGGAAUAUUGGUCAAUGGACGAGAGCCUGAACCAGCCAAGUAGCGUGAAGGAUGACUGCCCUAUGGGUUGUAAACUUCUUUUAUAUGGGAAUAAAAUGUUCCACGUGUGGGAUUUUGUAUGUACCUUAUGAAUAAGGAUCGGCUAACUCCGUGCCAGCAGCCGCGGUAAUACGGAGGAUCCGAGCGUUAUCCGGAUUUAUUGGGUUUAAAGGGAGCGUAGGUGGAUUGUUAAGUCAGUUGUGAAAGUUUGCGGCUCAACCGUAAAAUUGCAGUUGAAACUGGGAGUCUUGAGUACAGUAGAGGUAGGCGGAAUGCGUGGUGUAGCGGUGAAAUGCUUAGAUAGCACGAAGAACUCCGAUUGCGAAGGCAGCCCACUGGACUGCAACUGACGCUGAGGCUCGAAAGUGUGGGUAUCAAACAGGAUUAGAUACCCCAGUAGUC
rnacentral:rRNA from 1 species